CGCACCGUGCUAUUGACUCUAUUCGCUCCCUGAAACCAUUUCUCGAUCAUAAGCACUGCAUAUGCAGAAAUAAAUUUUGGACUAAACAGCCUCGUAAUCAAGCUUAACAUGGAUUGCAGGACAUCUUUUCUCAACUCAGUGAGCAAGCUCAGUGAAGAGAGUACAGUAUAAUUAUCAGUUAGUGGCGGAAGAGAUUGAGCAGAGCAAGACCCACGAAGCCGAAGGAGAUAAUAAUCUGGUGAGUUUUUACACAAUGGCACAUCAUAUUGAUUGGGAUAAUAUUAAUCACUACAUAGUGGAAAAUGAUGUUAGAUACCAGAGGCGUUUGCGUAGGAAACAACUUUAUAUUACUUGCUCUCCAUGGGUUCCUCCUGUUCAUCCCACUAGUACUUUAAACAAUACUGUUGUUAGUCGUGUAGAUCCUGAUAUGGAGAUGUUUUUGGAGGGUUUUAGGGAAUCUGACCGAUUUUUGGUUUGUAAAGAUGAUGAUAAUGUUUCCGAUGAUGUUAGUUUAGAGAUACUCGAAAAUGGGCAACAUGGGAAUGAUGAUUUUGGGGUUGAAUGCUCUAGGGUUGUUGCUAAUUCGGAACCCAUUGGGGUGAAAUGUGGGUUUGGGGGGGAUUUUGUGGAUCCUGAUGUGAAGAUGUUUAAGGAGGAUUUGGGGGUGAAAUGUAGUACUAGAGAGGAUGUGGUAGAUCCUGAUUUUAAGAUGCUUUUGGAGAAUCUAGUGGUCUACGGGCAUUCGUUUGCUUUGGAAGUCAAGAGCAUGGACGGGUCUAUACGAUAUAUCGAGUAUGAAAAAGAUGAAUUGUGUAAGGGAAAUGAUAUAAAGGAAAGAAAGAGGGGUAAAGUUGUUCCCAAGGGUGAUUUGGAUUCUGAUUCCACCAAAAAGAAGAGGAAUGUGAUGGUUCGCGGAGAAGGUUUUUCCAGGAAUUCAGACAGAUGCACCGUCUCGAAAAGGAGCUCAGUGGUGAAGAGAGGAGAUGAUAUAGAAAUUAUUUUCAUAGGAAAACCCAAUGAGAUUGAAGAGGUUACGGUCAGUAAGAAUUACAGGCCUUCUAAGAUUAUUAAGAAUAAUAAGAGGCCUUCGAAGAUGGACGAUGGAUGUAAUACAGAUUAUCUUAGAAAAUCAAAGAAACAGUAUGAGAAGCCUCAGAGAAGACCGUGUUUGACAAGGACUGACAAUGUGAUGGUUUGUGGAGAAGGUUCUUCCAGGAACUCAAACAGAUUCACUGUCUCGAAAAGGAGCUCAGUGGUGAAGAGAGGAGAUGAUAUAGAAAUUAUUUUCAUAGGAAAACCCAAUGAGACUGAAGAGGUUACAGUCGGUAAGAAUUACAGGUCUUCUAAGAUUAUUAAGAAGAAUAAGAGGCCUUCGAAGAUGGACGGUGGAUGUAAUAUAGAUUAUCUGAGAAAAUCAAAGAAACAGUAUGAGAAGCCUCAGAGAAGACCGUGUUUGACAAGGACUGACCACGUGAGAAAUCAAAUGGAUAUUCUUGAGAAAGGAAGAAGACCUGUAGCAGUUUUGAGCAGAGAAACUGCAAAAUAUCGAAGAACUGCUCCAGGGAAUAAACAGAGGGGUCUCGUGGUCCAGCUAGGUGAGGAUACUGAGAAUUCAAGAUUUUUUUCUAGCACAGGAAAUAUAGAUGUAAUGGGUAAGGAGGAAAAGUUAGACGAUACUGCAAGUGUAGUUCUGGUUAAGAAAAGUAUGCAAAUGAUUCAGGGAAAAGAUAGUGCAUAUGAUGAUAAUUUGCCACCACUGUAUAAAUCUGAUAAAAAGUUGGGCAAGUACGCUAAAGUCAAACAGGAGAAUGCUACUAGCUUGAAUUAUGAUGAAGAGGAAAAUGAAUAUUCUCCUGACUUGGAAAAACUGAGGGAACGAAAGAAAGAGCAUGAGAAACUUGAGAGAAGACCAUGUUUGACAAGGACUGACAAUGUGAGUAAUCUGAUGAAUAUCGCGGGGAAACCGAAAAGACAUCUAGCAGUGAUGAGUAGACAGAGUGCAAAAUAUCGAAGAACAAUUCCGAGGAAUGAACAGAGGGAUCUAGUGGUUUGGCAAGGUGAGGAUAUUGAGGAUUCAAAAUUUUCUUCUGGCAAAGGAAAUAUGGCAGUAAUGGUUAAAGAGGAAAAGUUUGACGAUAGCGCACAUGUAUUUCUAGUUGAGAAAAGUAUGCAAGUGAUUCCAGGAAGAGACAGUGUGUAUGAUAAUAAUUUGCGACCACAGUAUAAGUGUGAUACAAAUUUUGGAAAGUAUGCAGAACUCAGAGAGGAGAAUGCUAAGAGAUUAAAUUAUGAUAAAGAGGAUGAUGAAGAUUCUUCUGAUUUAGAAAUACUAGAGACAGACAAUCCACAAAACUUAACUAAAUUUGAACUUACAAAAGUGUUUAAUGAUUCAGAUAUAGAAGAUAGCGCUGUAAGCAUGAAACCCACAAGUCACUGCAAGACUUCUUCAUUCCGAGAGGAACUCCUGGUUAUUCUUAAAAAGCCAUAUAACCUAGAAGAGUACAGAAGUCUGAUGCAGAAAGCAAAGUAUCGGCACCUGAACUGGGCCCCUGAAUACUCGGAUGGGCUGAAAGGAAAAGAUAUAUCAAACACAUAUGGAAAAUCUCCCCUUGAUUACCACCCUGAUGUUCAAAGAAGACUUCGUCGAUGCCGAAGAUUUUCCAAACGUUUGAAUAUUUUACGAGGUUUUAUCUAUUGGUAUGGGAGAACUUGCCAAGAUGGAGCAUUCAAGCCAUGGUUGGAUAAGUCAUGUUUGGCAGUCACUCCAAGUCUCCGCUAGAAGUUUGAGUUGCCAUUCUAACACCCAAUGCUUAGAGUAUAAUAUAUAUCAAGGGAAAAGCAGAUACUGUAUGUACAUGCUGUGUCAGAGCGGUAUAGAUGAAAUGCAUAUGCUUUCACUGAGGAUCGUGCUUUCCACCUAACCUGUUUGUGUUGCAAGGAGCAUUAAAAGUCACGUCACGUUCGUGUCCGCAUCGCUCAGUGUAACUAUCUAGGGGAACGGAUGGGGUAUCUGGCAAAUACUAAUAAUCCCUAUGUUUUUUUUUAUUUGACGUUUUGACUUUUGGCACACUUCUUUAGAUGAUUGAUCGGGUAGUAAAAGUUAUUAUUUUUAAGUUAUUUUUUUGUGAAUAAAAGUUUUAGUUAUAUAUUUUCAUUCAGAGAAAAAAAACUUAAAAAAAAAUAUUUCUAGCUACAGGGUCAAAGCACUUAAAAGUGUGCCCAAAGUCGAAGCAUCAAAUUAAAAAACAGAGGGGGUAAUUUAGUUAUCAUUAGAUCAUCUCAUCAAUCAUUAUACAUUAUUAACUGCUAUACUACAUAUUUAAUAUAUGUUAUUAAUUUUAUCCCCAACUUUAAUUCAGAAAAUGAAAUUUUUUAAAAAAAAUUUACACAACUACACUUUGCAGAAUAAUUAAAGUCCGUGCCGCGUCCCUCAAUGUAUAUACCGUCAGGGGGACGGAGGAAGUAUGUAGCAAAUACUAAUGUUCCCUCUGUUUUUUCUAUUUGAUGUUUUGACUUUAGGCACACUUCUUUAAAUGAUUUGACCGGGUAGUAAAAGUUAUUAUUUUUAAUUUAUUUUUUUGGUGAAUAAAAGUUUUAGUUAUAUAUUUUUAUUCAGAGAAAAAAAAUUUAAAAAAUAAUAUUUCUAACUAUCUGGUCAAAGAACUUAAAAGUGUGUGUCCAAAGUCAAAGCGUCGAAUAAAAAAACAGUAAGUGUAAUUUAUUUAUCAUUAGAUCAUCUAAUCAAUCAUUAUACAUUAUUAACUACUAAUAACUACAUAUUUAAUAUAUGUUAUUAAUUAUAUCUAAUUAUUAUAUCCUCAAUAAUACUCCCUCCGUCCCAUUUUAGUUGUCACAUUGGGGUUUGUGCCGGUCAAAUUGACCAAAGUUUGACUGAAUAUUUUUAAUAUUUUAUCAAUUGAUUAAUUAAAAAAAAAUAUGUCACCGGGAAUAGCUUUUAAUCUACUUUAAUAUGUGAUUUUCGGUUUCUUAAAAUAAUUAAUGAGGGACUUAUAAUCUUUAGUCAAAAAUUAGUCAAUUUGACCAACAAAAAUAGAAAUUUGACAACUAAAAUGGGACGGAUGGAGUAUCUAACAAAUACUAACAAUAGUAAUUCAGUUAUCAUUAGAUCAUUUCAUCAAUUAUUAUACAUUGAUAAUUACUAAGAAAUACAUGAAUAAUAUUUAUUAGAGCAAGUCCAAUGGUGAGCUAUAUCUUGUGUUAUAUCUAUAUUAUAGCUCAAAAUCAAAAAAUUUCAACUUUAAUGGUGUGCUAAACUUGGUGCUAAAAUAGCAUAUUGCUAUAUUGAUGCUAUAUUUAGCAUAAACUAUAGCAAUAGCUAUAAUUGCCACCUCAUCAAAAAGUAAAAAAGUGGAGGGAAAUGAAUAAAAAAUAGAUUUAUAUCUCAACCUAUUCAAGUACAUUGGAGAGCUGGUGAAAUUUGGCACAAGAUAUAGCACCAACCAUUGGAGAUGUGAUAUUAUUUUAGCACCAAAAACCACUUUUUGGUGCUAUAUUAUAGCAAUAGCUACACCUAUUUUUAGCUCACCAUUGGAUUUGCUCUUAAUAAUAAUAUCUAAUAAAUUAUUAUAGAAUAAUACUUUUGAAUGAAUGUGUCCUUAAAAUAUUUGUAAAAUACUCAUGAAAAUCAUUCAUUUCAUCAAUCAUUAUACAUUAUUAAUUACGAAUAACUACAUAUUCAAAAUAAAAAUAUUCUUUGCGAGGAAUUGACCAAGUUAGUGCACUCAAAGCAAAGAGUGAACCAAUAUACGGUUAGACAACUCAAAUUAUAGGUUAUGAUUAGUAAAGAUUUUUUUUUUUUAACGUAGGAACCCGCAGCCGCUACCCUUCGGGUGCGCACUGGGUAAACCCGCAAACUACGUAAACCAAGAUAAACCGCACCUAAGCGCGACAGGCUCUGAUCCAGGAGGCAUAAUCACAAAUUCUGCUCCCUUUGGGAGUCGAACUUGUGACCAAGAGGAUGCAUGUCCACUCUUUAACCAGCUGAACCAACCCUUGCGGCAUGAUUAGUAAAGAAUUGAUUUUAGGCAACUCGAGUUAUAUGUUAUGAUUAGUUAGAAUUUAUCUAAUUCAUCAAACUAAUGCACUCAGAUCAAAGAGAGAACCAAUAUACGGUAGUUAAAGACAACUCGAGUUAUAUGUUAUGAUUUAUAAAGAAUUGAUCUAAUGAGUUAAACAACUCGAGUUAUAUGUUAUGAUUAGUAAAGAAUUUAUCUAA